rnacentral:rRNA from 1 species
GCGAAGAACCUUACCCGGGCUUGAAUUGCAGAGGAAGGAUUUGGAGACAAUGACGCCCUUCGGGGCUUCUGUGAAGGUGCUGCAUGGUUGUCGUCAGCUCGUGCCGUGAGGUGUCGGCUUAAGUGCCAUAACGAGCGCAACCCCUCUCCUUAGUUGCCAUCAGGUCAAGCUGGGCACUCUGGGGACACUGCCACCGUAAGGUGUGAGGAAGGUGGGGAUGACGUCAAAUCAGCACGGCCCUUACGUCCGGGGCUACACACGUGUUACAAUGGCAGGUACAGAGGGAAGGUAAGCCGCAAGGGGGAUCAAAUCCCCAAAGCCCGUCUCAGUUCGGAAUGGGGUCUGCAACCCGACCCCAGAAGCUGGAUUCGCUAGUAAUCGCGCAUCA